rnacentral:rRNA from 1 species
AGCUCCAAUAGCGUAUAUUAAAGUUGUUGCAGUUAAAAAGCUCGUAGUUGGACUUCUGAUGCGGCGUUACGGUCCACCGCAAGGUAGGUACUGUGAUGUUGCGUCUUCCUCUCGUAGGCCUUGGUUGCACUUAACUGGGUGACCUUGGAAUAUGGGACCUUUACUUUGAAAAAAUUAGAGUGUUCAAAGCAGGCUAACCGCUUGAAUACAUGAGCAUGGAAUAAUGGAAUAGGACUUUGGUUCUAUUUUGUUGGUUUCUGGAACCGAAGUAAUGAUUAAGAGGGACAGUUGGGGGCAUUCGUAUUUCGUUGUCAGAGGUGAAAUUCUUGGAUUUACGAAAGACGAACAACUGCGAAAGCAUUUGCCAAGAAUGUUUUCA